rnacentral:rRNA from 1 species
UACAGAGGUCCCAAGCGUUGUUCGGAUUCACUGGGCGUAAAGGGUGCGUAGGUGGCAGGGUAAGUUUGAUGUGAAAUCUCCGAGCUUAACUCGGAAACUGCAUUGAAUACUAUUCUGCUCGAGGGUUGGAGGGGGACUGGAAUACUUGGUGUAGCAGUGAAAUGCGUAGAUAUCAAGUGGAACACCAGUGGCGAAGGCGAGUCCCUGGACAAACUCCUGACACUGAGGCACGAAAGCUAGGGGAGCAAACAGG